rnacentral:rRNA from 1 species
AUUGAACGCUGGCGGCAUGCCUUACACAUGCAAGUCGAACGGUAACGCGGGGCAACCUGGCGACGAGUGGCGAACGGGUGAGUAAUGCAUCGGAACGUGCCCAGUAGUGGGGGAUAGCCCGGCGAAAGCCGGAUUAAUACCGCAUACGACCUACGUGUGAAAGGGGGGGAUAGCAGGACCUCUCGCUAUUGGAGCGGCCGAUGUCAGAUUAGGUAGUUGGUGGGGUAAAGGCCUAACAAGCCAACGAUCUGUAGCUGGUCUGAGAGGACGACCAGCCACACUGGGACUGAGACACGGACCAGACUCCUACGGGAGGCAGCAGUGGGGAAUUUUGGACAAUGGGCGCAAGCCUGAUCCAGCCAUGCCGCGUGCGGGAAGAAGGCCUUCGGGUUGUAAACCGCUUUUGUCAGGGAAGAAACGCUCAGAGAUAAUACCUCGGGGUAAUGACGGUACCUGAAGAAUAAGCACCGGCUAACUACGUGCCAGCCGCCGCAGUAA